AACGAACGCUGGCGGCGUGCCUAACACAUGCAAGUCGAACGAGAAAGGGGCUUCGGCCCUGAGUAAAGUGGCGCACGGGUGAGUAACACGUAGGUAACCUGCCUCUAGGAUUGGGAUAACAUGUCGAAAGACGUGCUAAUACCGAAUAAGACCAUAGUUUCUUCGGAAGCAGGGGUCAAAGGUAGCCUCUAUUUAUAAGCAAUCACUUAGAGAUGGGCCUGCGUACCAUUAGCUAGUUGGUAGGGUAACGGCCUACCAAGGCAAAGAUGGUUAGCUGGUCUGAGAGGAUGAUCAGCCACACUGGAACUGAGACACGGUCCAGACUCCUACGGGAGGCAGCAGUGGGGAAUAUUGCGCAAUGGGCGAAAGCCUGACGCAGCAACGCCGCGUGAGUGAUGAAGGCCUUCGGGUCGUAAAGCUCUGUCGGAGGGAACGAAUGUUUCUGAGGUUAACAGCCUCAGGAAGUGACGGUACCCUCAAAGGAAGCACCGGCUAACUCUGUGC
rnacentral:rRNA from 1 species